rfam:Bacillus vietnamensis strain TCD-SED5 scaffold_25, whole genome shotgun sequence.
CGGUGAUGUCUCCUUUCCGUUAUCCAUGGAGGCACUCGGUCAUGCUGUGGGUUGAAUGAACCUUAGACGCUAAGUCGUCGAUGGUGUGGUGUGAGGAUGGGUUAGAUGCCCA